UCUUAUCAAGAGUGGCGGAGGGACAGGCCCGAUGAAGCCCGGCAACCGAUUCAAAUGUGUGUUUAGGUCUUUAGACCUUCCAUCGUUGAAUGACAUGGUGCUAAAUCCUUCAGAGCGUACAUGAGGUACGCUUCUGGCAGAUGAG
rnacentral:ncRNA from 1 species